AGUUUGAAUAACGGUCCGAUUGCACUUGCAUCGGCUUCUAAUCCGACGGUCGCGGGUUCGAAUCCUGCCGGGC
rnacentral:tRNA from 1 species